CUCUACGGCCACACCACCCUAAACAUGCCUGAUUCCUUCUGAUCUCGGAAGCUAAGCAAGGUCAGGCCUGGUUAGUACUUGGAUGGGAGACCACCUAGGAAGACCGGGUGCUGUAGGCG
rnacentral:rRNA from 1 species